rnacentral:ncRNA from 2 species
AGUGGAUCUGAGUACUGACGGAAGAUAAUGUGGAAGACCACAGGGGAAUCAGAUUUGUAAGAAGCCGACCGUCUGGGCAACAUUU